rnacentral:rRNA from 1 species
CGCAUCUGUGCAUGCAGCAUAUCAAUAAGCGGAGGAAAAGAAACUAACAAGGAUUCCCUUAGUAACGGCGAGUGAAGCGGGAAGAGCUCAAAUUUGAAAUCUUCAAGGUUUUACCUUGACGAAUUGUAGUUUAAAGAAGUGUUUUCUGUUGAAGUUUUGGUAAAAGUUCUUUGGAAUAGGACAUCAUAGAGGGUGAGAAUCCCGUAUUUGACCAUUAUUUUCAGCUGUGUGAUACACUUUCAAAGAGUCGGAUUGUUUGGGAAUGCAGUCCAAAAUGGGUGGUAAAUUUCAUCUAAAGCUAAAUAUUGGCGAGAGACCGAUAGCGAACAAGUACCGUGAGGGAAAGAUGAAAAGAACUUUGAAAAGAGAGUUAAACAGUACGUGAAAUUGUCAAAAGGGAAGCGUUUGACACCAGUGUUGUUUUCUCGAAAAUCAAUUAAAAAGAGUUAGAUUUUGUUGUGUAUUGACCUUAACAGCUUGCAUUUCAAUUUUCUUGCUUUUUUUAAUGCACUUUUCGUUUAACAAGUCAACAUCAGUUUCUUUUGCUGUAAAAAGGUCAUUGGAAGGUGGCUUUCUUUUCGGAGAAAGUGUUUAUAGCCUUUGACUCCUGCAAUCGGAGAGACUGAGGUCUGCAGCGUAGAUCCUUCGGGGCUAAAUGCAUUUGUGCUAAGUUAUAGCAUUUUAUAGACAACUUGUUGACUAUGAUUUGUCUUGUAGCUUACUCGCUUAUGCUAUUUUACCUACGCUUAGGAUGUUGAUGUGAUACUGCGAGCA